rnacentral:rRNA from 1 species
AGAGGGUGCAAGCGUUAAUCGGAAUUACUGGGCGUAAAGCGCGCGUAGGUGGUUCGUUAAGUUGGAUGUGAAAGCCCCGGGCUCAACCUGGGAACUGCAUCCAAAACUGGCGAGCUAGAGUAUGGUAGAGGGUGGUGGAAUUUCCUGUGUAGCGGUGAAAUGCGUAGAUAUAGGAAGGAACACCAGUGGCGAAGGCGACCACCUGGACUGAUACUGACACUGAGGUGCGAAAGCGUGGGGAGCAAA